GUCCCGGCCGGCGCGGCUGGCCGGGGCGCUACGCGCCUACUGGGCGUGGCGGGACACCGACGCGUUCGACAUGUACUGGUUCGGCACCGACCUCGGGGUG
rnacentral:tRNA from 1 species